GGGGAUGCAGCUCAAUAAUAGAGCACUUGCCUCACAUGUACAAGGCCCUGGGUUCAAUUCCCAGUUCCACCA
rnacentral:tRNA from 1 species